rnacentral:rRNA from 1 species
GUUAUAUGGUCAAGCGAAUAAGCGCACACGGUGGAUGCCUUGGCGGUCAGAGGCGAUGAAGGACGUGGCAGCCUGCGAAAAGUAUCGGGGAGCUGGCAACAAGCUUUGAUCCGGUAAUGUCCGAAUGGGGAAACCCACCCGCUUGCGGGUAUCCUGCAGUGAAUACAUAGCUGCUGGAAGCGAACCUGGUGAACUGAAAUAUCUAAGUAACCAGAGGAAAAGAAAUCAACCGAGAUUCCGUAAGUAGCGACGAGCGAACGCGGACUAGCCCUUAAGCUGGAUUGGUUCUAGGAAAACGCUCUGGAAAGAGCGGCCAUAGAAGGUGAUAGCCCUGUAUCUGAAAGGGCCAUUCCAGUGAAGACGAGUAGGGCGGGGCACGUGAAACCCUGUCUGAACAUGGGGGGACCAUCCUCCAAGGCUAAAUACUACUGACCGACCGAUAGUGAACCAGUACCGUGAGGGAAAGGCGAAAAGAACCCCGGAGAGGGGAGUGAAAUAGAACCUGAAACCGUGUGCGUACAAGCAGUAGGAGCUCCGCAAGGAGUGACUGCGUACCUUUUGUAUAAUGGGUCAGCGACUUACUGUUCGUGGCAAGCUUAACCGUAUAGGGGAGGCGAAGGGAAACCGAGUCUGAUAAGGGCGCAUAGUCGCGGGCAGUAGACCCGAAACCGGGUGAUCUAGUCAUGCCCAGGGUGAAGGUGCGGUAACACGCACUGGAGGCCCGAACCCACUCCCGUUGCAAAGGUAGGGGAUGAGGUGUGAUUAGGAGUGAAAAGCUAAUCGAACCCGGAGAUAGCUGGUUCUCCUCGAAAGCUAUUUAGGUAGCGCCUCAUAUGUAUCCUCUCGGGGGUAGAGCACUGUUAUGGCUAGGGGGUCAUCGCGACUUACCAAACCAUUGCAAACUCCGAAUACCGAGACGGACUGUAUGGGAGACACACGGCGGGUGCUAACGUCCGUCGUGAAAAGGGAAACAACCCAGACCCACAGCUAAGGUCCCAAAUUCACUGCUAAGUGGAAAACCAUGUGGAAAGGCACAGACAGCCAGGAGGUUGGCUUAGAAGCAGCCACCCUUUAAAGAAAGCGUAAUAGCUCACUGGUCGAGUCGGUCUGCGGGGAAGAUUUAACGGGGCUAAGCAGUGAACCGAAGCUUGGGGUGCAUAACUUUGUUAUGCGCGGUAGAGGAGCGUUCCGUAAGCCGUUGAAGGUGGAUUGAGAAGUCUGCUGGAGGUAUCGGAAGUGCGAAUGCUGACAUGAGUAACGAUAAUGCGGGUGAAAAACCCGCACGCCGAAAGCCCAAGGUUUCCUUGCGCAACGUUAAUCGGCGCAGGGUGAGUCGGCCCCUAAGGCGAGGACGAAAGUCGUAGUCGAUGGGAAGCAGGUUAAUAUUCCUGCACCUCGCGUAAGUGCGAUGGAGGGACGGAGAAGGUUAGGUGUACCAGGCGUUGGUUGUCCUGGGGAAAGGCGGUAGGUUUGGAUCUUUGGCAAAUCCGGGAUCCUUUAAGACCGAGCACCGAGACGAGCCUUUAUGGCGAAGUCACUGAUACCACGCUUCCAGGAAAAGCUCCUAAGCUUCAGCUUACGCAGACCGUACCGUAAACCGACACAGGUGGGUAGGAUGAGAAUUCUCAGGCGCUUGAGAGAACUCGGGUGAAGGAACUAGGCAACAUGGCACCGUAACUUCGGGAGAAGGUGCACCCUUUUUGGUGGCUCGUGCGAGCUAUAGCUGAAGAGGGUCGCAGUAACCAGGCCGCUGCGACUGUUUAUCAAAAACACAGCACUCUGCAAACACGAAAGUGGACGUAUAGGGUGUGACGCCUGCCCGGUGCUGGAAGGUUAAUUGAUGGGGUCAGCCGCAAGGCGAAGCUCUUGAUCGAAGCCCCAGUAAACGGCGGCCGUAACUAUAACGGUCCUAAGGUAGCGAAAUUCCUUGUCGGGUAAGUUCCGACCUGCACGAAUGGCGUAACGACAGCGGCGCUGUCUCCACCCGAGACUCAGUGAAAUUGAAAUCGCUGUGAAGAUGCAGCGUUCCCGUGGCAAGACGGAAAGACCCCGUGAACCUUUACUAUAGCUUUACACUGAACGUUGAGUUCGUCUGUGUAGGAUAGGUGGGAGGCUAUGAAACUGUGGCGCUAGCUGCAGCGGAGCCAUCCUUGAAAUACCACCCUGUCGUGCUUGACGUUCUAACCUGGGCCCAUUAUCUGGGUCGGGGACCGUGUAUGGUGGGUAGUUUGACUGGGGCGGUCUCCUCCUAAAGAGUAACGGAGGAGCUCGAAGGUACGCUCAGCGCGGUCGGACAUCGCGCACUGUGUGCAAAGGCAUAAGCGUGCUUGACUGCAAGAUCGACGGAUCAAGCAGGUAGGAAACUAGGACUUAGUGAUCCGGUGGUUCUGUAUGGAAGGGCCAUCGCUCAACGGAUAAAAGGUACUCCGGGGAUAACAGGCUGAUACCGCCCAAGAGUUCAUAUCGACGGCGGUGUUUGGCACCUCGAUGUCGGCUCAUCACAUCCUGGGGCUGUAGUCGGUCCCAAGGGUAUGGCUGUUCGCCAUUUAAAGUGGUACGCGAGCUGGGUUCAGAACGUCGUGAGACAGUUCGGUCCCUAUCUGCCAUGGGCGUUGGAGAUUUGAGAGGGGCUGCUCCUAGUACGAGAGGACCGGAGUGGACGAACCUCUGGUGUUCCGGUUGUCACGCCAGUGGCAUUGCCGGGUAGCUAUGUUCGGAAGCGAUAACCGCUGAAAGCAUCUAAGCGGGAAGCGCGCCUCAAGAUGAGAUCUCCCGGGGCACAAGCCCCCUGAAGGAACCAUGUAGACUACGUGGUUGAUAGGUCAGGUGUGUAAGUACAGCAAUGUAUUGAGCUAACUGAUACUAAUGAUCCGUGCGGCUUGACCAUAUAACCU